GGGCCGCUAGCUCAAUUGGCAGAGCAGCUGACUCUUAAUCAGCGGGUUACAGGUUCAAGUCCUGUGCGGCUCACCA
rnacentral:tRNA from 1 species